GACGAACGUUGGCGGCGUGCUUAACACAUGCAAGUCGAACGGAAAGGCCCUGCUUUUGUGGGGUGCUCGAGUGGCGAACGGGUGAGUAACACGUGAGUAACCUGCCCUUGACUUUGGGAUAACUUCAGGAAACUGGGGCUAAUACCGGAUAGGAGCCCCUGCUGCAUGGUGGGGGUUGGAAAGUUUCGGCGGUUGGGGAUGGACUCGCGGCUUAUCAGCUUGUUGGUGGGGUAGUGGCUUACCAAGGCUUUGACGGGUAGCCGGCCUGAGAGGGUGACCGGCCACAUUGGGACUGAGAUACGGCCCAGACUCCUACGGGAGGCAGCAGUGGGGAAUAUUGCACAAUGGGCGGAAGCCUGAUGCAGCAACGCCGCGUGCGGGAUGACGGCCUUCGGGUUGUAAACCGCUUUCGCCUGUGACGAAGCGUGAGUGACGGUAAUGGGUAAAGAAGCACCGGCUAACUACGUG
rnacentral:rRNA from 1 species